rnacentral:rRNA from 1 species
AGUCGAACGCUUCUUUUUCCACCGGAGCUUGCUCCACCGGAAAAAGAAGAGUGGCGAACGGGUGAGUAACACGUGGGUAACCUGCCCAUCAGAAGGGGAUAACACUUGGAAACAGGUGCUAAUACCGUAUAACAAUCAAAACCGCAUGGUUUUGAUUUGAAAGGCGCUUUCGGGUGUCGCUGAUGGAUGGACCCGCGGUGCAUUAGCUAGUUGGUGAGGUAACGGCUCACCAAGGCCACGAUGCAUAGCCGACCUGAGAGGGUGAUCGGCCACAUUGGGACUGAGACACGGCCCAAACUCCUACGGGAGGCAGCAGUAGGGAAUCUUCGGCAAUGGACGAAAGUCUGACCGAGCAACGCCGCGUGAGUGAAGAAGGUUUUCGGAUCGUAAAACUCUGUUGUUAGAGAAGAACAAGGAUGAGAGUAAAAUGUUCAUCCCUUGACGGUAUCUAACCAGAAAGCCACGGCUAACUACGUGCCAGCAGCCGCGGUAAUACGUAGGUGGCAAGCGUUGUCCGGAUUUAUUGGGCGUAAAGCGAGCGCAGGCGGUUUCUUAAGUCUGAUGUGAAAGCCCCCGGCUCAACCGGGGAGGGUCAUUGGAAACUGGGAGACUUGAGUGCAGAAGAGGAGAGUGGAAUUCCAUGUGUAGCGGUGAAAUGCGUAGAUAUAUGGAGGAACACCAGUGGCGAAGGCGGCUCUCUGGUCUGUAACUGA